AGGCAGCAGUAAGGAAUAUUGGUCAAUGGACGCAAGUCUGAACCAGCCAUGCCGCGUGGAGGAUGAAGGCCCUCUGGGUUGUAAACUUCUUUUAUUUGGGAAGAAACCCAUCCUUUCUAGGGUGGCUGACGGUACCAGAUGAAUAAGCACCGGCUAACUCCGUGCCAGCAGCCGCGGUAAUACGGAGGGUGCAAGCGUUAUCCGGAUUCACUGGGUUUAAAGGGUGCGUAGGUGGGCAGGUAAGUCAGUGGUGAAAUCUCUAAGCUUAACUUAGAAACUGCCGUUGAUACUAUCUGUCUUGAAUAUCGUGGAGGUGAGCGGAAUAUGUCAUGUAGCGGUGAAAUGCUUAGAUAUGACAUAGAACACCAAUUGCGAAGGCAGCUCGCUACACGGUUAUUGACACUGAGGCACGAAAGCGUGGGGAUCAAACAGGAUUAGAUACCCUGGUAGUCCACGCCCUAAACGAUGGAUACUCGACAUGU
rnacentral:rRNA from 1 species